AUUGAACGCUGGCGGCAUGCCUUACACAUGCAAGUCGAACGGCAGCACGGGGGCAACCCUGGUGGCGAGUGGCGAACGGGUGAGUAAUACAUCGGAACGUGUCCUGGAGUGGGGGAUAGCCCGGCGAAAGCCGGAUUAAUACCGCAUACGCUCUGAGGAGGAAAGCGGGGGACCUUCGGGCCUCGUGCUACAAGAGCAGCCGAUGUCAGAUUAGCUUGUUGGUGAGGUAAAAGCUCACCAAGGCGACGAUCUGUAGCUGGUCUGAGAGGACGACCAGCCACACUGGGACUGAGACACGGCCCAGACUCCUACGGGAGGCAGCAGUGGGGAAUUUUGGACAAUGGGCGAAAGCCUGAUCCAGCAAUGCCG
rnacentral:rRNA from 1 species